rnacentral:pre_miRNA from 1 species
CAUAUACUCCCUCCGUUCGGAAUUACUUGUCGCAGAAAUGGAUGUAUGUAGACGUAUUUUAGUUCUAGAUACAUCCAUUUCCGAGACAAGUAAUUCCGAACGGAGGGAGUAGUAA